rnacentral:rRNA from 1 species
GACGAACGCUGGCGGCGUGCCUAAUACAUGCAAGUCGAACGCAGGGGGGACGGGUGAGUAACACGUGGGUAACCUCCCAUCAGAGGGGAUAACACUUGGAAACAGGUGCUAAACCGAUACUGAUGGAUGGACCCGCGGUGCAUUAGCUAGUUGGUGGGGGAACGGCUCACCAAGGCCACGAUGCAUAGCCGAUCGGAGAGGUUGAUCGGCCACACUGGGACUGAGACACGGCCCAGACUCCUACGGGAGGCAGCAGUGGGGAAUCUGCGGCAAUGGGCGAAAGUCUGACCGAGCAACGCCGCGUGAGUGAAGAAGGUUUUCGGGUUGUAAAGCUCUGUUGGUAGAGAGGCGGUAUCUAACCAGAAAGCACCGGCUAACUACGUGCCAGCAGCCGCGGUAAUUC